ensembl:lncRNA
UUACUUUUCUCUUUUUUUCUAGUGCAAGAUUCUGUGCAUUUGAGCUACAGUGAAAUAUGAAGCACUUACAUCCAGGCACUUAAGACUCUAAAACCAGGUCUAGACCAGGACUAGACCAGGAUCCCAAGUCCAGGAUCCAGGAAGUCCACGGUAUGGUCUACAGACGCAAGACCACAGAGACCACCUUACGAGACCCCAACACGGACCCAAGUGCUUCUCUUUGUCAACGCAAACUGAAUAUUUCAAAAAAGUUGUUCAUACGUCGUGUACAGACUUGUGCUCUUAAUUUUUUAACUUAUUUUAUACAUACAAAUUGUGCAUUUGUAAAUAGCCAUGUAAUUAUUGUUUUAAACCUGUACAAAAUAAUAGAUAUUUUGAUUGUAAACUCGUUCCGUCUCGUUUUAAUGGACCAAAGUUGUUUUUAUAUUGAGUGUCCUACGUCAGUGCUGUUAAUGUUAUCGUUGUUGAAAUUUAAGCAUGUGUUUUUGGGCGAUUUUUGUUGAGCGUUCUCAUCCACAGCUGAUAAAAUGUUUUUUAAAGUUUUCGGAGGUUUAAAGCUGUGCAUGCAUUUUGACUAUUUGUUCUUGCGUGAAUUUAUCGUGAGCUAUUACGGCUUCUUACCCCCCGUGUUUCACUCCUCUCACUGCAAAAAUAAUAUCUACUUGGGUUGAAAUGAUUUGAGGUCAAAAUCAUAAAGGACCUAUAUUACUUUUUUUUUUUUUUUUUUUACCUGUGGUAUAAUGUUGUUUCCUCAUUUAACAUAUACCCAGUGUUCUGUUUUGUUUCAUUCACACAUUUAACACACAAAUCCUGCAUAUUUAGGCUGAAAACACUCACCUUGUGAUGUCAUGUGGUGCUCCUGUGUUUUUAAACUCCAUACACCUUCACUAGAAUCAUUUAGAUUAUUUCAGCCCUGGAAUUUCCAGUCUCUACUGAACAAAAUGUAAAAAGUAGCUGUUAACUUUAAAACUAUUGCUUCAUGACAUCACAAGGUGGAAUAGAGCAUUUUGAGCUUUGGAGAUGUAGACAAACUACUAAAGAGUUCCUCAAACAUGUGUGAAUGAAACAAAACACUACUCCAGGUAUGUUUUUGAUGAUGUAACCACAUUGUAGCAUGACUAAAAGCUCACAGGAGUCAAUAUUGCGCAAUAUAUGACAGUUAAACGUAAUUUGAGUAGGUUUAAUUUUUUACUACUUAUAAGCUGUUAACAUUAACCAGAAACCUUAUUAAAUAUAUAAUAAUGAGGUGACCAUGUAACUUUUCUAGUGGGGAAUCUAUAACCUGCUUAUCUGAAUGAAAAGGUUAGUGCUCUGCCUGGAAUGUUCCACAUCAUGGCAUUAACUUCAUCAUUUUUUUCACAGGUGUUUUUAUUGGUAGAUAAACACCUUGAAAAUCAUUCCUAACUGUGAGUGGGCUUGCCUCUCUCCAGAUCUGAUCUGUAAUGACCUGGAGGCGACACCAGCUCAUCUCCAUCGAUAUCAACAAGUUUAUUGCCAUACUGUGGAAUAUUCCAGGCAAAGCGGCAACAUCUCAUGUGGCAGAUCCUCCUUCAGAAAAGUGACAUACUAUUGAAACUUACAAGAAAUGAUACAGUGCUUUUCAGUGGCUAAAAGUUUUCAGUUGUCUUAACAUGAGUUAUAAGAGUUAUUGAGUUAUACGUACUAGAGCAUGUCGAAUGGUUUAAUUGAAUAUGUUUGGAUCAGUAAUUAGUCCAGAAAUUUGUUUUGUAAUAUCUACAGAAACAGUUCUUGAGUUAUUUGUUAUUGAUCGGUGCUGUGAUUCUCCUUACUUUGGGAGUAACUGAUCAACUUUACUUUAAUAGACAUUAAGAUUUUAAAUGCAAGUCAUUCAAACUCCUGCAGCUAUUGUUUUUUGCAGUGCAUGUUGUCCACGUGUCUCGCGCACAUUAAAGUCUGUUGUGGCUUCAAAAUAAAAGGAAAAAAAAAA